CCACGGUCUCUGCGACGCAGCUAACGCAUUAAGUGCCCCGCCUGGGGAGUACGAUCGCAAGAUUAAAACUCAAAGGAAUUGACGGGGCCCCGCACAAGCAGCGGAGCAUGCGGCUUAAUUCGACGCAACGCGAAGAACCUUACCAAGGCUUGACAUAUACAGGAAUAUGGCAGAGAUGUCAUAGCCGCAAGGUCUGUAUACAGGUGGUGCAUGGUUGUCGUCAGCUCGUGUCGUGAGAUGUUGGGUUAAGUCCCGCAACGAGCGCAACCCUCGUUCUGUGUUGCCAGCAUUUAGUUGGGGACUCACAGGAGACUGCCGGGGUUAACUCGGAGGAAGGUGGGGAUGACGUCAAAUCAUCAUGCCCCUUAUGUCUUGGGCUGCACGCAUGCUACAAUGGCUGGUACAAACGGCUGCAAUACCGCAAGGUGGAGCGAAUCCGAGAAAGCCAGUCUCAGUUCGGAUUGGGGUCUGCAACUCGACCCCAUGAAGUCGGAGUUGCUAGUAAUCGUAGAUCAGCAACGCUACGGUGAAUACGUUCCCGGGGCUUGUACACACCGCCCGUCACGUCACGAAAGUC
rnacentral:rRNA from 1 species